GACGAACGCUGGCGGCGUGUUUAACACAUGCAAGUCGAACGGAAAGUCCCUGCUUUUGUGGGGUGCUCGAGUGGCGAACGGGUGAGUAACACGUGAGUAACCUGCCCUUGACUUUGGGAUAACUUCAGGAAACUGGGGCUAAUACCGGAUAGGAGCUCCUGCUGCAUGGUGGGGGUUGGAAAGUUUCGGCGGUUGGGGAUGGACUCGCGGCUUAUCAGCUUGUUGGUGGGGUAGUGGCUUACCAAGGCUUUGACGGGUAGCCGGCCUGAGAGGGUGACCGGCCACAUUGGGACUGAGAUACGGCCCAGACUCCUACGGGAGGCAGCAGUGGGGAAUAUUGCACAAUGGGCGGAAGCCUGAUGCAGCAACGCCGCGUGCGGGAUGACGGCCUUCGGGUUGUAAACCGCUUUCGCCUGUGACGAAGCGUGAGUGACGGUAAUGGGUAAAGAAGCACCGGCUAACUACGUG
rnacentral:rRNA from 1 species